rnacentral:rRNA from 1 species
UACGUAGGGUGCAAGCGUUGUCCGGAAUUAUUGGGCGUAAAGAGCUCGUAGGCGGUUUGUCGCGUCUGCUGUGAAAACUCGGGGCUUAACUCCGGGCCUGCAGUGGGUACGGGCAGACUAGAGUGCGGUAGGGGAGACUGGAAUUCCUGGUGUAGCGGUGAAAUGCGCAGAUAUCAGGAGGAACACCGGUGGCGAAAGGCGGGUCUCUGG